GGAACGAAAAGCAAUAGCUAUCUGCAUUAAAAAGUAAUUUAGUGCAAGAUCGACUAUGUCGAUUAAAGUUCAGGGUAGAAUUAUGAUAAUGACAUUGUCUAUCUUUGGGUCUUGUCCAAAUUACGUGCCAGCAGACGCGGUAAUACGUAAAAGACUAGUGUUAUUCAUCUUGAUUAGGUUUAAAGCGUGCCCAGACGGUUAAUGAAGCCGUAAAAGGUACUGAUUAACUAGAGUUAGAUGUAAGGGAGCUAUUACGUACUGUUGAGUUAAGAGAUAAAAUGCUAUUAUACCAGAUAAUUGGCACGGGUUUAGGCGAAGGCAUCUCCUUAUGUAAUAACUGACGUUGAAGCACGAAGGCAUGUAUAGCAAAAAGGAUUAGAUACCCCAGUAGUCUUAGCAGAAAAUUAUGAAUGUCAUAGGUUGAAUAUAAUUCUGUCUAUAAAUGAAAGUGUAAGCAUUCCACCUCAAGAGUAAUUUGGCAACAUUGAAAUUGAAAUCAUUAGACCGUUUCUGAAACCAGUAGUGAAGUAUGUUGUUUAAUUUGAUGACCCGCAAAAAACCUUACCACAAUUUGAAUAUAUAUUUACAAGCGUUGCACGGCUGUUUUUAGUUAAUGUCGUGAGAUAUUGGUUUAUUCCAUCAAUUAACGGAAACCCUUACUUUAUUUUAAUAUAAAGUUGUUCACUGAGAUAUUGGAUACGAUAACAGGGAUUAAGACAAGUCAUCAUGGCCUUAAUAUUGUGGGCUACAGACGUGCCACUUAAGCCUUACAAAGGGAUGCUAAAUUGCGAAAUUAAGCU
rnacentral:rRNA from 1 species